rnacentral:rRNA from 1 species
CCUCGGGUUGCAGCAGUGAGGAAUAUUGCACAAUGGGGGGAACCCUGAUGCAGCAACGCCGCGUGGAGGAUGACGCAUUUCGGUGUGUAAACUCCUUUUAUAUGUCAAGAAAAUGACGGUAGCAUAUGAAUAAGCACCGGCUAACUCCGUGCCAGCAGCCGCGGUAAUACGGAGGGUGCAAGCGUUACUCGGAAUCACUGGGCGUAAAGGGCGCGUAGGCGGGUUGGAAAGUCAGGUGUGAAAUCCUACAGCUUAACUGUAGAACUGCACUUGAAACUUCUAAUCUAGAGUAUGGGAGGGGGAGAUGGAAUUAGUGGUGUAGGGGUAACAUCCGUAGAUAUCACUAGGAAUACCUAAAGCGAAGGCGAUCUCCUGGAACAUUACUGACGCUAAGGCGUGAAAGCGUGGGGAGCAAACAGGAUUAGAUACCCCCGUAGUC